rnacentral:rRNA from 1 species
UACGAAGGGGGCUAGCGUUGCUCGGAAUCACUGGGCGUAAAGGGUGCGUAGGCGGGUCUUUAAGUCAGGGGGGAAAUCCUGGAGCUCAACUCCAGAACUGCCUUUGAUACUGAAGAUCUUGAGUUCGGGAGAGGUGAGUGGAACUGCGAGUGUAGAGGUGAAAUUCGUAGAUAUUCGCAAGAACACCAGUGGCGAAGGCGGCUCACUGGCCCGAUACUGACGCUGAGACGCGAAAGCGUGGGGAGCAAACAGG